GUGAACGCUGGCGGUAGGCCUAACACAUGCAAGUCGAACGGCAGCACAGUAAGAGCUUGCUCUUACGGGUGGCGAGUGGCGGACGGGUGAGGAAUACAUCGGAAUCUACUUUUUCGUGGGGGAUAACGUAGGGAAACUUACGCUAAUACCGCAUACGACCUACGGGUGAAAGCAGGGGAUCUUCGGACCUUGCGCGAUUGAAUGAGCCGAUGUCGGAUUAGCUAGUUGGCGGGGUAAAGGCCCACCAAGGCGACGAUCCGUAGCUGGUCUGAGAGGAUGAUCAGCCACACUGGAACUGAGACACGGUCCAGACUCCUACGGGAGGCAGCAGUGGGGAAUAUUGGACAAUGGGCGCAAGCCUGAUCCAGUCAUACCGCGUGGGUGAAGAAGGCCUUCGGGUUGUAAAGCCCUUUUGUUGGGAAAGAAAAGCAGCAGGUUAAUACCCCGCUGUUCUGACGGUACCCAAAGAAUAAGCACCGGCUAACUUCGUG
rnacentral:rRNA from 1 species